rnacentral:rRNA from 1 species
UACGUAGGGUGCGAGCGUUGUCCGGAAUUAUUGGGCGUAAAGAGCUUGUAGGCGGUUUGUCGCGUCUGCUGUGAAAAUCCGGGGCUCAACCCCGGACUUGCAGUGGGUACGGGCAGACUAGAGUGUGGUAGGGGAGACUGGAAUUCCUGGUGUAGCGGUGAAAUGCGCAGAUAUCAGGAGGAGCACCGGUGGCGAAGGCGGCAUCCUGGACCGGCAUUAACGCUGAGGAGCGAAAGCCAGGGGAGCAAACGGG